GAAACGCGAUAAGUAAUGUGAAUUGCAGAAUUCAGUGAAUCAUCGAAUCUUUGAACGCACAUUGCGCCCGCUAGUAUUCUGGCGGGCAUGCCUGUUCGAGCGUCAUUUCAACCAUCAAGCCCUAGGCUUGUGUUGGGGGCCUGCAGCCGCUGCAGCCCACUAAAAGCAGUGGCGGGCUCGCUGUCAUUCCGAGCGCAGUAGUUACAUCUCGCUCUGGGCGUGGCAGUGGGCACUUGCCGUAAAACACUCUUUCUAAGGUUGACCUCGGAUCAGGUAGGAAUACCCGCUGAACUUAAGC
rnacentral:misc_RNA from 1 species